rnacentral:rRNA from 1 species
GACGAACGCUGGCGGCGUGCUUAACACAUGCAAGUCGAACGGAAAGGCCCUGCUUUUGUGUGGUGCUCGAGUGGCGAACGGGUGAGUAACACGUGAGUAACCUGCCCUUGACUUUGGGAUAACUUCAGGAAACUGCGGCUAAUACCGGAUACGAGCUCCUGCUGCAUGGCGGGGGUCGGAAAGGUUCGGCGGUUGGGGAUGGACUCGCGGCUUAUCAGCUUGUUGGUGGGGUAGUGGCUUACCAAGGCUUUGACGGGUAGCCGGCCUGAGAGGGUGACCGGCCACAUUGGGACUGAGAUACGGCCCAGACUCCUACGGGAGGCAGCAGUGGGGAAUAUUGCACAAUGGGCGGAAGCCUGAUGCAGCAACGCCGCGUGCGGGAUGACGGCCUUCGGGUUGUAAACCGCUUUCGGCUGUGACGAAGCGUGAGUGACGGUAAUGGGUGAAGAAGCACCGGCUAACUACGUG